UGGUAAGCCUGUUGUGGAGAGAUCAAAUGAAUAUGGCUAUCAAUACCGGCCGCAGUGAGAAUCAAAUGUUCACCUGAAAUAGCAUCGGUACUCACCCCCACCACCAUUCCAGGUGUCACCCCAUCCAUCACGCCGGGGUUACCACUUUUACCAAUACCCGCAAUUUUACCAUCGCGAAUGCCGACGUCGGCUUUAAUCACCCCAAGGCGGGCAUCAACAAUGGUGACAUUGGUAAUCACUAAAUCCAGCACGCCAUUAUCGCGGGUCAGAUGGUUAUUGGCCCCCAUCCCAUCA
rfam:Yersinia mollaretii ATCC 43969 contig01616, whole genome shotgun sequence.